GCCCAGCACAGUGGCACGUGCCUGUAGUUCCAGCUACUCGGGAGGCUGAGGUGGGAGGAUCACUUGAGCCCAGGAAUUCUGGGCUGUAGUGCACUAUGCCGACCGGGUGUCUGCAACAAGUUUGGCAUCAAUAUGGCAGCCUCCCACAAGCGAGGGACCACCAGGUUACCUAAGGAGGGGUGAACCAGCCCAGGUCAGAAACAGAGCAGGUCAAAAACUCCUGUGCUGAUUAGUAGUGGGAUUGCACCUGUGAGUAGCCACUGCACUCCAGCCUGGGCAACAUAGUGAGACCCCGUCUCU
rnacentral:SRP_RNA from 1 species